GGGCCCGCACAAGCGGUGGAGCAUGUGGUUUAAUUCGACGCAACGCGAAGAACCUUACCAGGGUUUGACAUCCUGCGAAUCUCUUGGAAACAGGAGAGUGCCUUCGGGAACGCAGUGACAGGUGGUGCAUGGCUGUCGUCAGCUCGUGUCGUGAGAUGUUGGGUUAAGUCCCGCAACGAGCGCAACCCACGUCUUUAGUUGCCAGCAUUUAGUUGGGCACUCUAGAGAGACUGCCGGUGAUAAACCGGAGGAAGGUGUGGAUGACGUCAAGUCAUCAUGCCCCUUACAUCCUGGGCUACACACGUACUACAAUGCUACGGACAAAGGGCAGCAAACUCGCGAGAGCUAGCAAAUCCCAUAAACCGUGGCUCAGUUCAGAUCGUAGGCUGCAACUCGCCUACGUGAAGGAGGAAUC
rnacentral:rRNA from 1 species